UAGAUUGGACGCUGGCGGCGACAGUCUCCCUCUGGGGAAGCCAGGGAAGAUGGGGCUGCGGUGAUUGGCUGAUCAUCGUCUUCGGGCAUGGUGGUGGUGGCGCCGGGUGAGGGAAGCUCUGCCCGACGGCUGGCUGUGGAGUUGGCGCAGGGAAGGGUUUUGUUAGGGUUUUGCGGUGGGCUGAGGGAAGGCGCAAGAUCAAAGGCAACUGAUACCAAGAUGUUGGUACAUAUAGAUGAAUAGCACGGUAGCAGGGUAACAAACCCUAGUUCGCCCUCCCUUGGAGGCUCUGAACUCUUUGAGGUUUAUUAUCUGCUUAAUUGUCUCAUGCGUCAGCUCCCUCUUUAUAUAGAGCCGGCCCUAACAAACCAAACUAACAAUUCUGAAUAAUACAAAUUACAGCAAAUAAAACAUAAAUGUGCCUAGCCACUAGUAGAAGCCGCCUUCUUGUUACGUCGCUGGAACUUGUGACCGAAGAAUCGGUCCACAACACCUUUCUGCCAAAAGGAGGUCACUGCAUGUGGGGAGAGAUGUGACUUACAUGUUGCUAAAUUUUUCUGAUUAAUUUUGUGAAUGAUUUUGUUUGUUUGGUUGAAACAAGGUAGCAACUGGGAAGUUUUCCCCAUGGAGAUCCAGAAUUUCUAAUCAUUUCUCCGCUUGUUUUAACAGUGUGGAAGUUGGCAGCUAUGUAAUAACCGGUGAUAUCUUCAAGGAAGUGGGUAGUAAUAAACGUUUAAGGUCAGGAUCUUCUGGUAGGCCAAUAUCUAAAGCUUGUAGGGAAAAAAUGAGAAGGGCCAAGCUCAGUGACAGCUGCACUAGAAGUUCCAGUAAAAUUGGCUGGAACGUAAAUUCAGGAGCCCUUUUCAUUUUGGCUGUCAUAUUUGCUUCCAAAGUCACAGCAAUAUGUCUCUCUAUUAGAAGGCAACAACGAGGUUAGCAUGACGCUGAACAUCUCGACGGACAUUUCAUCUCUGUUCACGUGGAACACAAAACAAGUGUUUGUCUUUGUGGUGGCUGAGUAUGAAACUCCCCAAAUUUCUUUGAAUCAAGUUUCCCUUUGGAUGGAAUUAUACCUGCAAAAGAGCAUACCAAGUUUUUAUCCAUACCACAAACAGGUACAGAUUUAUUGACCAGGCAAGCACAUUACUUAGAUUGAAUGCCGAUUUAAUGUAAUUAUGAAAUUUUAUCACUGUGACUGGGUGAUGCAUUUUGAUAUGAUUAAAGAGGGAGGGCGAGGGACAGGGAGGAAGAAGAGGGUCUGGUUUUUCCAUAGUUUAGUAAAAUGAGAGAGAAGACAAGUAGAGCAACUAUGAGAAAGGAUAUAGAAAGGUGACGAGAUUAUGUUUGAAUCCUUUAUGGCCGUGGUUGUACGGCGUGAGGAGAGGCGACGCGGCGGCGAGCGAGGGGCCGCUGUGCGAGGAGGGCCGUGGCGGCGCUGGGGAGGAGUGGACCUUUGGGUGCGAGGAGUCUGACAAGGACGGCAAGGAUUUCAGCGCCAUGGACGUUCGCUUGGGCGGCCGAUGCAUCAGGUAUUGGUGUCAUGAGGAAUAGAGAGAUGAGAAGCUGCAGGGCGCUGGUUUGCUUGCUCGGUUGUGAUAGAAGCAAAGGA